rnacentral:tRNA from 1 species
GCGCGGGCGGCCCGGAAGGCGGCCUCGAUCCAGUCGUUGCCGGUGCGUUGCAGGUUCGAGUCCCGCCGCGCGCC